rnacentral:lncRNA from 1 species
AUGCAAAUCAAAACUAUUAUGAGGUACCAAUUGAUUUAGUGAUUUUUUUUUCUUUUUAGGGCUGCAUCCACGGCAUAUGGAAAUUCACAGGCUAGGGGUCUAAUCAGAGCUACAGCUGCUGGCCUACACCCCAGCCACAGCAACGCAGGAUCCAAGCCGUGUCUGAGACCUACACCACAGCUCAUGACAAUGCCAGAUCCUUAACCCACUGAGCGAGGCCAGGGAUUGAACCGGCAUCCUCAUGGAUACUAGUCAGGUUUGUUAACCACUGAGCCAUGAAGGGAACUCCCAGAUUUUCUUUCCAUUAAACUGCUGUUUUCGUGGUCACCAUAAUACCUGUGUUGUAAUUCAAUAGUCGAUUUUCCUCUAUCAUCAUACCUGACUUAGCAAUACAUGAUGCAUUUAAACAGUAUACCUUAUGAAACUAAGUAAGAUCCUAUGGGGCCCUCCCAGAGAAAAAAGCCCUUCCAUGUCCCCUGAUUCUUAUUUGUAGGAAAAAAAGUUUCAGCCUCCUAGACUUUCCUUGAGUUCCAAAGGGCAUAUCAAAUAAUUACUGACUGGUUUGGCAGAUGAGGGAACACAGAAACAAAGGAAAAGCAGUCCAGAAACAAUAGUUCAGCUAUAAAGCAGUGUCCUAGUUCCUCCUUAAGGAAUAUAUGUAUAAUAAUCUGACACAAACCUUUGAAUUCUUCUACAAGAACUAAGGCCCCUGCCAAGGUGAAGGAUGGUGACUACAUAUUGACCACAAGCACACAGAUUCCAGACUGGUUGGAAGCAGAAGGUUGAUGAUUGAGAUUCCAGAAACACCACCCUGUUACCUCACCACCAACCAAUCAAAAAAAGUCAUGCAUCCAGCAGCCCUCACUCUCAAUUGUGCCCUUUAAAAAUCUUCCCUAAAAACCACUGGGCAGUUCAGGUGUUUUGGGUAUGAGCUGCCAGUUCUCCUUGCUCAGCCCUUGUGAUUGACCUUUCUCUGCUCCAAACACAAUUGUUUAGGUUUGUGUGGCUUCACCUUGCGUCGGGCACAGGAACUUAGGUUCAACAACACUUAUCUCUCCUUAAAAGACUAUCUUCACUAGGCUUCUAGAACAUCAUAUUCCCCUGAGUUUUAUUCUGUGGACCUGUCUUUGCAGAUUUCCCCUCAUUGUUUCUAAAUAUUCAAAUGUCACAGUGCUCAGUCCAUGGACUUUUGAUUGUUUUCCUUUACCUAAUCUUACUCUUCUGGUGGUCAUCUUUACUCAUUGCUUCAAAAUGCAUUCUAUAAAUUGAUGGACACUCAAACAGAAUAGUUCUUCAAAUUAUUUGUGGAAAGAAUGACUCAAAGUUUUGCCUCUUUUCUUUAUGUUAUAUGCUGUACUCCAAUGUGUAAGCAUUUUUACCAUAUGAGCUUCUUCUGUCCUUGUAACAAAGCUGUAAUCUAUAUUAUAAAAAUUCAUAUUGGAGUUUUCUUGUGUCACAGCAGAUUAAGGAUCUGGUAUUGUCACUGCAGUGGCUCUGGCUACUGCUGUGGUAUGGGUUUGAUCCCUGGCUCAGGAAAUUCCACAUGCUGUGAGCAUGGCCAAAAAAAAUUAUUUUUAAUUCAUAUAUAAAUAAUAUACUAUAAAGUGUUAAGUGACUUGGGGAUUAUUCAGAUGGUCCUAAAUCCCAUCAUUCUAGAUAUAUGUUGCUGUGCAAUUCAAUGAAAAUAUAAAUAAUACCUUUUUACUUGAUGAAAAUUACAGAAAAUUCCCCAAACUUUUGGUCUACUGGAUGGUGAGUUUAAAAAAGAGUUCUACAAAUGCUCAGUUUUUUCAUUUCCUUUCUUUCUUAGCAUUUAAAUUUGAUUCACUAAAGAUUAUUGAGUGCUACCCUGAGUUAACACUGGAGGUAGAACAAUAUAAAAUUCAUGGGAUUUGUUUUUAACAAUUUUGCUAUCUCUGUCAGACUCACUGAAAGUAUAUGUCUAACAUUAUUUUUAUUCAUGAUCAUGUUGAAAAUAACUAGUUAUAAGUUAAGGCUUUAGAUUUGUAAGCUCUAAAUCCUUUAAAUGCUUUUAAAUCAUUGAAAACUAUCUUUUGAAUGCUUUUCUAGAGAUAAAGAAUGAUCUAUUAACUUUUCAUAGAAAUGCAUGAAAACAUGCAAUGCAAAAAGGAAUGAAGGAGUUCCCAUCAUGGAUUAAUGGAAAUGAAUCUCACUAGGAACCAUGAGGUGGUGGGUUCGAUCCCUGGCCUCACUCAGUGGGUUAAGGAUCCGGUGUGGCCGUGAGCUGUGGUGUAGGUUGCAGACGUGGCUCGGAUCCCACGUUGCUGUGGCUCUGGCGUAGGCCAGUGGCUACAGCUCCAAUUAGACCCCUAGCCUGGGAACCUCCAUAUGCUGCGGGUGCAGCCCUAAAAAGACAAAAGAGGAAAAAAAAAAAAAAAGGAAUGAAGCCCAGAAGAACUAUUAGGGUCAGGAUGAAGAAAUGAUUCGGGUGAAUCCAGGGUGAUUUGGGAGCAGGUGUUAAAUAUAUAAAAAUCUAUCAUCUCUGGAACCACAACACAAUGUGUCCAUGGCUUUUCCACUAUUUAUAUUUCCAUUCUUUUCAUAUUUCUUGCAUGUUUCUAGUCUCCCAUUACUCAAGUCUUUCCCAGUUCUGAAUACUCCUUUGACUUUGAUUAUAGGAUAUUUUCUAGAAAUUACAUGGUAGACACAGAUACUAAUAGGAGGUUCCCACUAUUUUUAGGCAAAAGCUUGUUGCUCCCUUUUUUUGGACACAAAUCUUUGACCUUCCUUUAAUUGCACUGAUUGUCUCUAUCCCUGCCUGCCUUCUCUGUAUCCAUUGUCUUGUAGGCCAGUGCACUGCAGCUGUCUCAUUUAUAUAAUUCAGCGAAUGUUCAGAGAGACAGAAUUGUGAACACAAUUGUUUCUAGCUGUAAAUAGAAGCAAGUUGCAUUGUGCGUUUCUGGGUAAUUUCAUCUGUGGCUUCCAUUCAGAUGGAAUGUUCUCCUCUCAGAAACAAUUUACUUCUUCCCUCUUUUGCCCCUGCCUCACUAAAAUGUUUGUGAUCCAUAGACUUAGGAAAAACUUUUAUUUAAAUUUGCUAAUUCUAGCUCUGCAUUCUCUCCACCUUUAUGUUAUGCACACCACCUUUUAAUGCUCCCUUUAAAAGUGGAGUAAAGAAUCUGAACAGCAGCAGGCAGCAAAUUACAGAGGAACUAUGUACUUCUCAAGGAUUAACAUAUACAUACUACUGUAUCUAAAAAAAGAGAAACAACAAGGACCUACUGUAUAGCACAGGAAACUAGACUCAGAAUCUUGUACUGACAUAUAAAGGAAAAGAAUCUGAAAAAAUAUAUGUUUGUAUAACUGAAUCACUUUUCUGUACACUUGUAACUAAUUCAAUAUUGUAUUAACUAUAGUUCAAUUUAAAAUAAAAUGAAAUAAAGUAAAUCUAAAGAAAAACUAGAAUGGAUUUAAUAUCAUUUCUAUUGAAAUUUAUUAACUUUAUUCAAUGCCGAAUGUGCUGAAGUGUCACAUAACCAUUUAUGCUAAUGUUAAUUACAACAGCAUUAACAACACAACUAUCUCAGGAAGCACAUUUAAGGAUCAAGAACCAGUAGGCAGUGGAGCUUCUUGAGGGAAGGAGGUGGGGACCCUGCUCCACCCACAUGCUGUGGCUAGUAGGGACUACACAGGUGGUGACUUAUCUUAGUGUCUGAAGUCACUCUUUGAUUGGCGGUCAGAGAAUCACUGCUGUUUUAGGCUUCCUGUGAGUCUACUACUCACACCACCAGAAUAUUAAUUUAAGCAGAAUAUAGGGAGCAAGGGUCAUAGAACAGGCUUAAAGGGGAAGCAUGCCAUCUUUCAGGAAUUCUUGAAAGUGGACUUGUAACUGUAAUAGAAAGGCAUCUUUCAAGAAUAAUUUACAGAACUAUCUUGGUUUUGUGGUUUUUUGGUAAAUUAAAACAUGUUAUGUUUAAAUAUUAUUCUCAAAGAACUAUGAAUCUCCUUGAUGAAUCAUUUUAUGUCUAUCACAACACCAUACUCAUAAAGGAACUCUACAAAUAUUCUAAUUAGAAUGUCUUUAACAACUAUUCCUAUAAGAAAUCCAGAAGCCUUUAUUAAUUCAUGAUGUGAUUCAAUCUAGCUAUGAAACACUGGGAAUAUGAAGACUCAUAUAUCAUUGACUUCAGAUAUCUUAAAUGAUACAGACCACAGUGAGCUUUGUGCAAUCAUGGCAAAUGGGCAGUCAAGAGAGGUGAAUUGAAUGACUAUUUUGUGUAGAGCACUUUACAAGCUACAGUGGGGAAGAGAGAGAAGAAUAAGAUACACAUCCUUACCCGUGUUUAAAAUAUGACAAACCACCUCUUUCUAAGAGAUUGUUAAAUUCAAAAUGCUUUGAUUGGUACCUUUUUUGCUUCCUUUUUUUUGGGGGGGGAGGGUGCAUCUGCAGCAUAUGAACCUUCCCAGGUUAGGGGUUGAGCUGGAGCUGCAGCUUCUGACCUAUGCCACAGCAACUCCAGAUGUGAGCCACAUCUACAACCUACACUGCUUGUGGCAUUACUGGAUCCUUAGCCCACUGAAUGGGGCCAGGGAUCGAACCUGCAUCCUCAUGGAUCCUAGUCAGGUUUGUUACCACUAAGCCACAAUGGGAACUCUUCUUGCUUCCAUUUUGGACUGCCAAGAGCCCCAAAUGAUCCAUGAAAUUACUCAAGUGUUCUAGGAUAAAUGUCCUUACCUAAUGAGAAAAAAAAAUAUUUGUAUUUAUUAAUUUACUGAGAAGAAAACAACUUAAUUCUAAUGAGGAUUUUUUUUCUCAGAGGACUUUAUCUUUUCUCUUUAAUUCUUAAUCCAUUAUAAGCUGGAGAAUGCUAAUGGCUCUAUUUUCUUCUACAAAUAUUUCCUUUUUUAAAAGUGCAAUGUUUGAUCUACAACAGUAUUCAGGUUUUAGGUUAAAACUGCACAAAUACACACACACAUUAAACAAAAGUAAACAUAAUGAGCCAUUUCCUGAUGGAAAAACACAUCGAGUUAGGUGCAGAUUGCUACUGCAGUUCUCUAGUCUGUGCUAUUUAAUCAUUGCUAAUUCUAUUCUUUAAAUAACUCCUAUUUUCUAAGUUCAAUAAAGAAAAGGAAACACUAAACAUAAUGAAAAGAGAAUCCACAGAAUGGGAAAAAAAAUAUUAGCAAGUGAAUCGACUGACAAGGGAUUAACCUCCAAAAUUUAUAUACACCUUCUGCAGCUCAAUACAAAAAAAAAAAAAAAAAA